GACGAACGCUGGCGGCGUGCUUAACACAUGCAAGUCGAACGGUAAAAUAAGGUCUUGUUCUUCUGGAUCGGUUGCGAAGGGGGAAGCAACACUUAGGUAACCUGCCCCUGCCCGUGAAAUAAGCUCUGAAAGGGUCGUCUAUUACGGCAAACGAUUCAUCGCCUUUUGGUUACCGCCCGUAAGGUUUUCCGGUUGGGAAUGGACUCGCGGCCUAUCAGCUUGUUGGUGAGGUACUGGCCCACCAAGGCAACGACGGGUAGCGGGCCUGAAAGGCCGACCGGCCACACUGGGACUGAGACACGGCCCAGACUCCUACGGGAGGCAGCGGUGGGGAAUAGUGCACAAUGGGCGAAAGCCUGAUGCAGCGACGCCGCGUGGGGGAUGACGGCCUUCGGGUUGUAAACCUCUUUCAGCAGGGAAGAAGCGAAAGUGACAGUACCUGCAGAAGAAGCACCGGCUAACUACGUG
rnacentral:rRNA from 1 species